GCGGACAUAGCUCAGUUGGGAGAGCGUCAGACUGAAGUCAACUUCAAUCACUUAAUCUGAAGGUCGUGUGUUCAACCCACACUGGCCGCA
rnacentral:tRNA from 1 species